CCAUCAUAGUUUUUCCUCUAUCAUUUAACGGCGUAUGAGUUGACAAGAAUGCCUCUUGAAAUGACGGUUUUAGACCUAAUUUGAGACUCUAUACGAAAAAAUCUAGUUAAAAUAAUUCAUAAAAUAUUUAAAUUGAAAUGAAUUGAAAAUAUAAACUUACUAAUGCAUGAGAGUUGGCUUCAAAAGAAGCCGAUCCACUCUUGUACACCAAAUAAUCAUCGUUUUUAGUUCGAUUUGCUGAAUUCUUUUUUGAUUUUUCUACGAACUCUGGUGCCAAAAACUUGUCCAUCAUUAGUCCUCAUUUUUCUUUUGUAAUAUAUGUUGGAGGGAAAUCUUUGCAAG
rnacentral:lncRNA from 1 species